GGCGCACGGGUGCGUAACACGUAUGCAACCUACCUUAUACUUAGGGAUAGCCUUUGGAAACGGAGAUUAAUACUUAAUGGUAUAUUUAGCUGGCAUCGGUUAUAUAUUAAAGAUUUAUUGGUAUAAGAUGGGCAUGCGUCCAAUUAGUUAGUUGGUGAGGUAAUGGCUCACCACGACGAUGAUUGGUAGGGGAACUGAGAGGUUAAUCCCCCACACUGGCACUGAGAUACGGGCCAGACUCCUACGGGAGGCAGCAGUAGGGAAUAUUGGGCAAUGGAGGGAACUCUGACCCAGCCAUGCCGCGUGCAGGAUGAAGGCGUUAUGCGUUAUAAACUGCUUUUAUAUAGGAAGAAACAGACCUUGCGAGGUAAAUUGACGGUACUAUAUGAAUAAGCACCGGCUAACUCCGUGCCAGCAGCCGCGGUAAUACGGAGGGUGCAGCGUUGUCCGGAUUUAUUGGGUUUAAAGGGUGCGUACGCGGUUUAUUAAGUCAGUGGUGAAAGACGGUCGCUCAACGAUUGCAGUGCCAUUGAUACUGGUAGACUUGAGUG
rnacentral:rRNA from 1 species